rnacentral:rRNA from 1 species
UACGAGGGGUGCAAGCGUUGCUCGGAAUUAUUGGGCGUAAAGGGUAGGUAGGUGGUCUCAUUUGUCUAGGGUGAAAGCCUUGAGCUUAACUCAAGAAGUGCCCUAGAAACGGUGAGACUGGAGUCUUGGAGAGGGUCGUGGAAUUCCCGGUGUAGCGGUGGAAUGCGCAGAUAUCAGGAGGAACACCGGUGGCGAAGGCGGGUCUCUGGGCAGUAACUGACGCUGAGGAGCGAAAGCGUGGGGAGCGAACAGG